rnacentral:lncRNA from 10 species
UCGGGGGAGCCGAGGUUGUCUUGAGUUGCCCAUGGCCAAAUUGCCUCUUGGUGGCCUUCCCAGGCUCUCCUCAACAGUCAGAAGGGAUGGCAUAGGUAUUCCCUUCAUGUGUGGAGGCCUCACUCUGUGCCAGGGGCCAGGCCAAGCUGGUUGGUAUAGGAUCACAUUUAUCUGGGGGUUCUGUGAUAUUCAUACUUCCCCCAGGAAAAUGAGGACACAGUGGCACAGAUGAGCUAAGUAACCUGUCAGAGGACACACAGCCAGUGUGUGACAGGGCCUGGACUGAGCCCAGGUCUGCUGGUGCAGUCAGGGCUCACAGCCAACAAGGCACAGCCAUGAUGCCUCUUGGCCAUGCCUGUCUCCUGCCCGGGGUCCUUUAGUCCCGCACAGUGAGGAUCAGGGCUCUGCGCAAGACCCAUGGACAUUUGUGUGCACAUGUGGGGCACUGCUGGCAGUGGCCCUGACUUGAGUCAGCCAGGCCCGUGCCUCCCAGCCCUGCACUGCUCAUCACAAGGCCUGGCAGAUGCUGUGAGCAUCUCUCAGACCCAGAUGGGAAGACUGAGGCCCUGAGUCAGUGGGGCAGAGGUGGGGCUACAGUUUGGUUCUCUGGAGCACUGUCCAGAGUGCCCAUCUUGAGAGAGGAUCCCACGACAGAGCUGGGCACAGGGGCAUGUGGCACCAGCAGCAGAGGACUGGGAUGCAGGGGACUUGUCCCUUGCCUACCCUGGCAUCUGCCUACUGUCCAUGUGAUAAAGGCUGGGGAAGGCUGGGGGCGUUGGGCAGGCUGGGAGGUGAGGCCAGAAAAGACCAGCAGCUGCUUUUCCUGGCUGAGCCUGGCCCAGGCAUGGCCAGGCUGAUGGAGAGGGCAUGCUGGGCAGAGAGCUGAGGUGGCAGGUCAGAGGGGGAGGCUGGGCCGACUCUAGUGUGGGACACGCCACCCCCACGCUGCCCUCCCGUCUCAGCUCAGCUGCUCCCUCUCCAACUCUGCAGGUCCCCUUGCUUCUUUCCCUGCCACAGGGCUGCUCUUUGGCCUUCUAAGGCAUGGGCUGAUCUCAGAUGACAGACGCACCUGCUCAAAGGCAACAUCAGUCAGCUGAGGCCGGGAGCCCUGGGCAGGAAGCAGCACGGGACUCGCCCCAUGCUGUGCCCUCCCCCGACUCUCAGGCUCCUGCCUGCCCCAGGUCUGGGCACUAGGCCAGAAAGACGUGCUAACUUCUCUCCCCUCUUCUGCUUCACCUUGGAAACUGAGAGUGCUUUCUUCCGUGCAGAAGCCACAUUGGCUGCUCCUGGAAGUCACUGGGAUGCCCAGGGGUGGGCUGGGGAGGGCAGGGGGGCUCUAAGGCCCCUCUGCUAAGUCAGUAAAGCAGUUCCCUGCCUCACACAGAAGGUCUUGAUAAGACAAGGCAGCCUGAAUUUAAAAUGUUGGGGUCCUUUACUUCCUAGCUCUGGAUCCACAGUCCAAAAAUGGGAGGCAGCUAGCUCCAGGUCACGUGGCUAACGCAGGGGAUGCGGCCAGGUGGAGUCUGGCUUGUGUGCACUCACUGGAGGGCUCAGAGGGCACAACAGACCACCGGCCGCACGGCUGGGAUGGGCCCCUCCUCUGCCAUCUGGUUAAAGGCAUGCCCUUCUCCUCCUGCGUCUUCUUCCGCAACCCCCAAGCCCUAGGGACUUGCUGCGCUCUGGAGUAAGACAGAGCAGGGUUCAAAUCUCAGCCACAACUCUUGUAGCCUGCAGUCUGGGGCAGGCCUCUGUUUCCCCAUCUGUGAAGUGGGGAUGAUACCAACAGCUGCCUUGUGGGCUGCGUGAGGGUCCAGGGAGAUAAUGCGGGAGACAAUGUCCUAGAUGGGCGUUGGUACCCUCAGGCUUCUGGCUCUCAGCUCUGCCCUUCUCCUGGGCUCUACCUGGAGGGCUGAGGCAGAGCCCCUUUCUUCCCAGUGCAGCCUGGGGUCUUUUGAAAUGUGGGAGCAAAUUAGGGCCCAUCUCGCACAGUGCCCUGCAACAAGGCUGGAAGCCAGGCAAAAGGGGUUCCCAGUGCACGGGCUGAGCUGUGAAGACACCACAGCCUCAACACCGCGACAGCAGCGCCUGUCGCAGAAACUGCGGGUCUUUCGCUCCUUUCUCCUAAGAGCUCAUGGGAUCAAGCUCAUGGAGUCCUGGAGCUGUUCCAGUUUUCUGAGCCUCAGUGUCUAGAAUAGGAAUGGCAGUGCCUCCCCGCCUCCCCAUAGGAGUGAGGUGAGAAUUCAUGAAUGGCUGGGGAGUAGGCUAGGGAGCCGGGCAGUCAUGGGGCGUUACUGGGGGACAGCCACUGACCGUGACCCUGAGGAGUCAGAACACCUCCCAACCUGAGCUCUGACUACAGUCCCUGCUGCCACAAGAGAGGAAGGUUAUUUUUCACAAUCUCCCAUUGAUCUUGAUGAGAAACCUAAUGGUGGCUUCUCCUAGGACCACUGUCUCUGCUGGGCCCAGCACCAGGAGGUGUGGGUCCCACUCCCCUCCCUGGCCAGGCCAGCCACAGGAAGGCCACCAGCAGACAUAAGGACAGUGAGACCCACUGGGGCCCAGGAGCUGGUUGUGGGAGGGUAGAGCGCAGUGUGGGGUCACAAUGGCCAAGGGAAGAACCAGAUGUAAGUGCAGGACUCAGGCCACCCACUCUGCCAGUCUGGCAGGGGCAGGAGUGGCCAAG